GGGUGAUUAGCUCAGUUGGUAGAGCGUCUGUUUUACACGCAGAAUGCCAGUGGUUCGAGUCCGCUAUCACCCA
rnacentral:tRNA from 1 species